rnacentral:rRNA from 1 species
UAGAGUUUGAUCCUGGCUCAGGAUGAACUCUAGCUACAGGCUUAACACAUGCAAGUCGAGGGGCAGCAUGAACUUAGCUUGCUAAGUUUGAUGGCGACCGGCGCACGGGUGCGUAACGCGUAUCCAACUUUCCCGUUACUCAGGUAUAGCCUUGCGAAAGUAAGAUUAAUCCCUGAUGACAUGUUAAAGUUGCAUGACUAUGACAUUAAAGAUUUAUCGGUAACGGAUAGGGAUGCGUUCCAUUAGGUAGUUGGUGAGGUAACGGCUCACCAAGCCCGCGAUGGAUAGGGGUUCUGAGAGGAAGGUCCCCCACACUGGAACUGAGACACGGUCCAGACUCCUACGGGAGGCAGCAGUGAGGAAUAUUGGUCAAUGGUCGGAAGACUGAACCAGCCAAGUAGCGUGAGGGAUGACUGCCCUAUGGGUUGUAAACCUCUUUUAUAUGGGAAUAAAAAGGUCUACGUGUAGGCCAUUGUAUGUACCUUAUGAAUAAGCAUCGGCUAAUUCCGUGCCAGCAGCCGCGGUAAUACGGAAGAUGCGAGCGUUAUCCGGAUUUAUUGGGUUUAAAGGGAGCGUAGGCGGACUUUUAAGUCAGCGGUAAAAUCGUGCGGCUCAACCGUGCCCUGCCGUUGAAACUGGAAGUCUUGAGUGUACACAGGGCAGGUGGAAUUUGUGGUGUAGCGGUGAAAUGCUUAGAUAUCACGAGGAACUCCGAUCGCGAAGGCAUCCUGCCGGGGUACGACUGACGCUGAGGCUCGAAAGUGUGGGUAUCAAACAGGAUUAGAUACCCUGGUAGUCCACACGGUAAACGAUGAAU